rnacentral:lncRNA from 1 species
GUGACUCUAGCUGUAAUCUUCUCAAUAAGAGGCAAAAGUGAUGAAUAGCCAACUUCUUUUAAUCCAGAGGGACACCUAAAUAUCUGAAAGGGAGAUGUCCUUCAGUGAAUCCCAGAACUGCAAUAAUCUCUUCUCUGAUGUCCAGUGGAACUCCAGCCAAAUAGAUUGCACUUUUACUUACAUUAGCCUGAAGGCCAGAUGCUGCUGAGAAUUGAAGAAAAG